GCAGGUAUAGCUCAGGGGUAGAGUGCGUGCCUAACAUGCACAAGGUCCUGAGUUCAAUCCCCAGCACUGCCA
rnacentral:tRNA from 1 species